AGGGAUUGCCCCAGUAACGGCGAGUGAAGCGGCAAGAGCUCAAAUUUGAAAGCUGGCUCCUUCGGGGUCCGCAUUGUAAUUUGCAGAGGAUGCUUCGGGAGCGGUCCCCAUCUAAGUGCCCUGGAACGGGACGUCAUAGAGGGUGAGAAUCCCGUAUGGGAUGGGGUGUCCGCGCCCGUGUGAAGCUCCUUCGACGAGUCGAGUUGUUUGGGAAUGCAGCUCUAAAUGGGUGGUAAAUUUCAUCUAAAGCUAAAUAUUGGCCGGAGACCGAUAGCGCACAAGUAGAGUGAUCGAAAGAUGAAAAGCACUUUGAAAAGAGAGUUAAAAAGCACGUGAAAUUGUUGAAAGGGAAGCGCUUGCGACCAGACUCGCUCGCGGGGUUCAGCCGGCAUUCGUGCCGGUGUACUUCCCCGCGGGCGGGCCAGCGUCGGUUUGGGCGGUCGGUCAAAGGCCCUCGGAAGGUAACGCCCCUAGGGGCGUCUUAUAGCCGAGGGUGCAAUGCGACCUGCCUAGACCGAGGAACGCGCUUCGGCUCGGACGCUGGCAUAAUGGUCGUAAGCGACCCGUCUUGAAACACGGACCAAGGAGUCUAACAUCUACGCGAGUGUUCGGGUGUCAAACCCGUGCGCGAAGUGAAAGCGAACGGAGGUGGGACCCUUACGGGUGCACCAUCGACCGAUCCUGAAGUCUUCGGAUGGAUUUGAGUAAGAGCGUAGCUGUUGGGACCCGAAAGAUGGUGAACUAUGCCUGAAUAGGGCGAAGCCAGAGGAAACUCUGGUGGAGGCUCGUAGCGGUUCUGACGUGCAAAUCGAUCGUCGAAUUGGGUAUA
rnacentral:rRNA from 1 species